UUGUCGUCAGCUCGUGUCGUGAGAUUGUUGGGUUAAGUCCCGCAACGAGCCGCCAACCCCUAUUGUUAGUUGCCAUCAUUCGGUUGGGCACUCUAGCGAGACUGCCGGUAAUAACCGGAGAAGGUGGGGAUGACGUCAAGUCCUCAUGGCCUUUAUGACCAGGGCUACACACGUACUACAAUGGCCGGUACAAAGGGCAGCCACUUAGCGAUAAGGAGCCAAUCCCGUAAAGCCGGUCUCAGUCCGGAUUGGAGUCUGCAACUCGACUCCAUGAAGUUGGAAUCGCUAGUAAUCGCAGAUCAGCACGCUGCGGUCGAAUACGUUCCCGGGCCUU
rnacentral:rRNA from 1 species